rnacentral:lncRNA from 1 species
AUUGUCUAAAUCUUCUUCUCUCGCUAGGCCAAGUCUCUCUCUGGUUUCUAUACCCUUCUAGCCCCCCCUCUUUCUCCUAUGUAAAGACAUCAUAGGAAACUAUAAAGGCGCCGUGCCAUAGAACUUCUCCUCCUUUACUCUUCCGCGUGAACAACCUUACUUGGAAGUGUAACGGUUGUACAUUGAUCACUGCAAAGACAUCAUAGGAAAUUGUUGGUAAUCAAUUAACCACUGACUUUUCCCUCUCUCAAUCUCUCUCCCCUCUAUAUCUAUAUCUCUGCCUCAGUCUCUAUCUAUUUAAUACUUUUCCCGUUUCUUUUUAUUCCAAUCGAUUCUCUGAGGGUUUUCUAUUUUCUCUUUACUCCAAUCGAAUAUGGAAUCAUAGGUAUGAUUAAUCUCAAAAAGUUUUAUUUUUUGAUUGCUAGUUGCUACAAAGUUUGUAUUGUAAAUGAUGGAUUAUUUCCCUCUAUAUAGUGAUAAUUUGAUACUUUUUCAUGUUAUUUAUUUUUUUAAUAAAUAUAUUAAUCCAAUCAAUUUAUCUUUUGUUGGUUCGUACUAGAUUAUGGAUGUUAAUGCCAUCAUCCAUGGACAAGGUACUGCUCAAGUAGCUGGACAAGAUAUUACUGGAACCCAAGUUACUGAGCAAGACACUGCCCAAGCCCAAGUCAUUGGCAAGCGUUGCCGCAAGAACAAAAAAGGUAAACCCCCCAAAUCACAUAAUGAUAAUGCGGGGGAAAAUGGUGGUGGGAGGGUACCAUCAAGAGAUUGGAAUUAUUUUAAUAAAUUAGAAUUAAAAAAUAGCAUAAGGAAAGCUUAGUGCAAAUAUCAUCAAAAUGUGUAUGUAGCCGAUUCCAAGUUUCAUGGGACAAGUAACCUAUUGAGUCAUGCUGCAACAUGUGCAAAAAAUUCUUACAAUACUGAAGUGAAGGGACAACAAACCUUGGGUUUUCAACCUAAAAAAGAUGGAAAAGAGGGUGUAGAACUUGUGUCCUUGAGCUUUUCAGUGGGAAGCUGCUAGAAGAGCUCUUGCUGAGAUGAUUGUAAUUGAUGAGUUAUCCUUUACGUUUGUUGAAGGAGUUGGGUUUAGGAGAUUUUGUGGUGUCUUACAACCUAAGUUUAAGACCAUCCUAUCUUGUACCAUCAUAACUCGAGACAUUGUGGGAAUUUUUAAUCGUGAGAAAGAUAAGUUAAAAAAAACAUUAAGGGGUCGUAGAGUUUGUCUAACCAUAGAUACAUGAACAUCAAUACAGAAUCUGAAUUAUAUGUGCCUUCCUGCUCAAUUUAUUGAUGAUGAUUGACAAUUUCAGAAAAGGAUAAUUAAUUUUUGUCAAGUUGAAGAUCAUAAGCGAGAUAUACUAGGUAAAAAAAUUGAAAUGUGCUUGUUGGAGUGGAACAAUGAUAGCACAUUUACCUUAACAGUAGAUAAUGCUAGUUCUAAUAACAAUACUAUCAAAUUCUUGAAGAGGAAAAUAAAAUAUUUGAGAGGGACUAUUUUGGAGCAUGAGUUUCUACAUAUGCGUUGCUUGUGCCCAUAUUUUGAUCUAAUUGUGGGUGAUGGAUUUAAAGAACUAAACACUCUAUUGCUCGUGUGCAUGAUAUUGUGAGAUAUGUUUGACAUCCAAAAUAGGCUUGAGGUUUUGUAAAAAAUGGGUAGAAAGCAAAAAAAAUGAAUGUAAGAGUUUGUUGUGCAUUGAUGGACCAAUUAGUGGAACUUACCUAUCUAAGUUGGAAGCAACUUGUAAAUUUGAGAGUGCCUUGAGAGAAUGGAGGAGGAUGACACUAAUUUCAAAUAUCCACUAUUUGGAUUAUGAUAUUGGUGGCGAUGAGAUUAUAAUAGUAUAAGAAGCGUAACUUCUGCUCUUUCAACAAAGCAGAUUGGAAUAAUGCAGGGGUUUUUGUGAAUUCUUAAAACUUUUCUACAAUGCAACGAAGCGGGUUUUAGGCUCUCUUAUGUAUCUCAAAUUAUUUUUGAUGAAGAUGAUUGUGAUUCCAAAAAAUUUCAACAAUUAAUCAAUAGAAAGAGAUUUAUUUUGUCUUCAAUGGCAAAAAAAAUGAAAGAAAAGGUGAAUAAGUUAUAUAUGAUGUGGUACUUGAGUCUCGAAAUAAGUUGAGUAUUUGAAAUUUUGUUUGUCACAAUUCUUCAAGAAAAAUUGUGAAUGAGAUAACUAGUCAAGUAAAUAUUUCUUGAUUCAUUUAUAUGAGGUUUAUGCUUUAAUAGAUAAGUAAUAACUGUGGAAGUGCCUAGUGCAAGUGAAGUUCUAAGUGGAGGUAGAUGAUGACGGUGAUGAUCCACAUGCACUUAUAGCUGUCCACUUUAG